UUCAUCACCUGCAUCUCUUUACGUCUGUUCUAAAUUAUAGAUGAUUUGCUAAUAGUGGGCAGAGUUGAGGCAAUUUCUGCUCCCUUUUCUCUCUCCUUGCCAGGUUAAGAUGAUUUCUUUAGCUGUGCCAACUCCAAGGAUGGUAUUUUGACUAGGUGCUUUCUCUUUGCAGGAGACCUUUUUCUGUGCUGCAAUGUCAGCAACAAUUCUAGAGGGACACAAAGCAGAAAGGUUGGGUGCUGGAGGGAACCCAAACCCUCCUGCCUGGAGGGCUUCCAACUCUCUACUCUGUACCUUGUGAUCAGUGACCCAACACCUUACUACGUCUCUGCUCCCUCAUAGCAAAGCCGAAGGAAAGCGCUAGGUGUGCUGUGACUAUCUCUACACAAAGUCUUAUAUGGUAGAAGACUGUGCAAAACUGGGUGUGGUGCAGGCAGAUGCAUGCCUGUGUCCGGACCCUAUACCACUCAGCUGCUUCUGGCAAUAAGCUGACCCGAAGAACAACUUUCGAGACCUUUGGAAUCCAAAAUUACAUGAACCUAAUUUCCCAGCGUUUGGGCUAUGCCUGUUAGAGAAUAGCAGUACCUCUGAUGCAGGCUAUUUUGGUUCCUCAAGGUCUAAGUGAUUUUUUGUACAAGUCAAAACUAAGCACAACAGUGUCCUCACCUUGAGACCCAGAGUGCGUCCUGGCCUCCUCUGCCCAGCCCUCCUGCCUACUGGGAACAGGCUGUGCUGUGCAGCGACCUGCCUCUGGACAUCUGCUGCCAGGGCCGCCUGGGCUGCCAGCUUCCUCUGGGCAGAGCCCCUUCUCCCCAGGCAGCCCAGAAGCCUCCAGGAUGUCUCCCAGCAUGCAGUUCUGUGCCCUUUUGACCACUGGAACUUUGCAAUUUCAUACUGAAAAGAAUUCCAGAGGAAAGCAACCCCCUGCCCUCCGCUCACCACCCCAUCCCAAUUUCAGUUUUCCUUUGAGUCCGUGUACUCAGUGUGCCAAUCUCCUCCUAGCCUCUGAGGCUCUCUGUCCUGCAAUGAGGUCUUAUAUCAUAUGCACCUUCACUCUGGACCAAAAGCAAAUAAAACUAGGCAAUAUCUUCUGGUAAAAACAUGAAGCCUGUGCCCAGUGAGUUUCAUGACAGGCAGAGCUCCCAGGCUGCUUGGUCUCUGCCAACCCCAGACCCUAGUUAGGGAUGCUGGCAUACCUUUCACAGUGCUAGUGUUGAUGCUGUUAUUCCCUAGUCCUGGGUGGGAGGUGGAAGGGCAGUAUGGUGUUCAUUCCUCCUUCACCACUUGAUGGUGAUGCCCCCUCACAGGGUCUUUGUACAGAUGAGUUCUUUUUAUGUAGUCAGAAAGUCAACUCUGAAAAUUGUGCAAUGAUCUCUGCAUGCCAAGGACUGUCUGGGUACUGAAAAAGGAGGAAAGAAGACAGGAGGCCUCUGCCCUCAUGUUACAUGUGUAUAUACACUGACCAAAUGUAUGUGUGCUGGGCAUGUCACGUGCAUACAUCUGGAUGCAUCCUUCCUUCUAAAUCUACUUGUCACUAACAUCUGAAGUGAGCUUUCUUCUCAGAGGAGUCUUUUUUAUGUUAAUUGGGGCACCUCACCCCUCCUGCAUUUGUGGAGGAAGUCAGGAGCAGGUUCAUUUAUCAACUGACUUCCCUGUUCAGUUUCUAGCAGUAGGAUCCCAGCCCAUCAAAGAACCAGCCGGUGCCUUCAAACCCUGGACAAUGCAGACUAGCAUAGGCUCCUCAUUUCAUCCCUGCCAGAGCCCGACUCCUCUCUACGCCACACACAGACCUGUCUGUUUGAACAGAUCAGGAGCCACAGGGGUGAACCACUAGUUAGGCUAGCUCAAAAUGAAUACCUGGUCUCCUGAAUGGGGAUGAGGGGCAGCUCAUUUGAAGCCUGCCUACAAAGCCGUUUCCCCUGGACUGCACCGGCAUGGAAAUGAGGGCACUCCUCAUAUUUUUCCUUUUGACAUUUGAUUAAUAGUUGACAAAUCCAGACCCAAGUAGUUAGCUUUCCUAUUAUCCAUCUUUGACAGCCACUGCUGCUUUUCUUUUCAAGGCCCAUUGUUCUAAAAAUACACUCAGAUCUGAAGCUGUUCUCUGUGCACACAGAGGCGUGAUUUUAUGGUGUCAGAGAUAAGAGACAUCUGCCAUGCAGAUUACAAACAAAGCAGGUUACUGGUUUUCUGAAAUGAAGGCAGGGAUAUCGCACUACUGAAACCAUGUGUUGCCUGUACUUCCCUGAUGCUGUGGUAUGUCAUGAGAUUGCUAACCUGCUUGUUUGCCAUUAUGUGUGAUGCUUGCCUGUAUAUGUGCAUGCAGUGGCCAAGUACCAAGAUCACAGGCAUGUGCCAUCAUACCCCACAGAAAUACAUUUCUAAGAGUUGUUAUGUUGCCCAUCAAUGGGAGCUGCUGGCCUAGUGCCAAAGCAUGGGUCAUAGAAAAAAAAUAAUUUGAGUAGGAGAGGGCAAGUCACAUAGAUUAUCACAAAAAAUAUCAUCUUUCUGGUAGGGGCAGGAAAUACUGCACGUGGCCUCUGAAUAUGCCAGCAAGUGCUCAGAUCAGCUUUGAAGCCAGUGGACAGCAGCACUGUCAUGGGACCUUAGCCUGGAGAUGGAAGAGCCAGCCAGAUGGAAGGGGCUGCAUUUAAAACCCACCCAGUAGGACUUAAACCCUGCCUGGUUCUGACUUCCUUUUGAAUUGUCUCUAACAGAUUGGACCUCUCCAUGUCAGACCCUUUUAAAUAUGCAUGAAGUAUUCUACUGCAUUUGUGAUACUUUAGGGGUAUGAUUAGCAUCAUACGCUGCUACUAGUGUUUAUGGUUUUAAAUCCUGUCCUCACUGCAUUUAAAUAUUUUUAAUAGGAGUCUCUGAGUGUGCGUGUUGGAGGUCGAUCUAUGGAUGAAUGGUUUUGAACAGGUAAAUAUAGUUAGGUCUAACAAGUAAGUGUAGCUGCAAAGGUAAUUGGUAGCAUGUAUUUGGAGAGUAAAUUGUUGCUUCCAGUCAUAAUCCCCCCAUCCCCAGCAUUUAGAAACAAAAAAACAGCUCUGGUGCAGAGGAAUAUAGCAAAAUUGAAUAGCAGGAAAGGACAGGCUUGAAAUACUGGUUAACCAAUGAACCAAGACCCAUUAGAGUAAAUUACUGAGUAUGGGAACAUAGCCCCAUUGCUGGCUGGCUGGGACAAUUCGAUGCCCUGGCAUCCAUUUGUUUAAAAGGCAGCGCUCAGCCUCAUUUGCAGUAUUGGCAUGCUCAGAGUAAUGGAAGAAGAGAUGGCCAGAGAAAGAGGAGUAUGGAGGCUGUUCUGCCAGAGAGGGAACAGCGGCCUGCUUUCCAGUAAGUAGGUUUGCUUUUUGGUAACCUUUGUGCAGGCCCAUGUGGAAAGAGUAUGUAACAUGCUACUAAGGAGAUAUCCCAAAGCUACUUCCUUAGACAUCUCAAAUAAACAAACAGAUCACAGAGCCACACGUUCUUUACCUCUGACAUUUGCCCUGACAACUCCUGAGAGCAUUUUAUAGAUCCAGAAAAAGAAAGGGAACAUCAGAUCCUUCAAACAAUUAAUUGACAAGAGAAAGAAUAGCCUGUCACUAGGAGAGCUGGGAGCCCUGCACCUCAGCUACAGUUUAGUUAGCUAUGCUGGACCCUGAUUGGCUGACUGAUUUCUGGAGUCUAGUUUAAGCAGAUGUUGUCUAGACAGAUGCUGGAGGCAUGCUCUAUUGCUGUGACCAGGUACUUCUUUUAGGUUUUGCUACUGUGGAUGGGGCUAGAUAAUCCAGUGCCUGUGCUGUAGAUCUGUGGUGGCCUGUAGAAGCCAGGCAGCAUGUUACAACUGUCCAUCUGCCCCUGGAGUCAUUAUUGGCCAUGUGUUCUCCUUAGGAACCUGUCCCUGGCUGCAUCCACAGAGGGCCUCUGGGAUGGCCUAGCCAUACUCCACCUUACCCAGCAGAUGAGACCCUGAAACCACAGCCUUCCUCUGCCACCUUUGCAGCAUCCCAGAGACCUAGCACAGUAUCUGGGCUGAUAGGAUACUUGCAAAUGUCUCAGCCACAAAGAUAAGGCCCUGCCAUUCACACACUUCCUGCCUCCCUAGGCCACCAUACCCCGGGUGGCUCACUGGAGAACCACAGUGCUGAUCCUGAAGGGAUGCUUUUCUUCUGUUGGUUUGGCCUCUGGAGUUUAUUAGGUACUUACUGAUACCGUCAACUGUAGAUAGGGCUGAAGUGCAGGGAAAUGGCUGCCUGCAUGAAGUAAAAUUCAAUAAAACCGCAUUUUAAGUGAAAAAUCAGUAUAAACACCAGGCUUCUUUGCCAUGGAAACAGAGGUUGCUUAGAAACUGCCUAACGGCGAGUUCUAAAUUUUUUAAAGUCAAGUUAUCAUUUAAGCUACACAGCCCUACAGGUUAUUGAGAGAUAAUCACCUGCCUCGGGACAUGUGGAGGCAUGAGGCACAGCUGAGUGCCUCCUGCGCUCUGAGGACCAGGUAAUCUCUUGAUAACUGUGCUCCCUGGAGCCACCAAUUUGGGCCUGAGGGAAGGAGAAAGGAGUUUCAUUUAGGAGUUAAAUAGUGUAUGUAUAUUUUUCAGAAAUUGUUUCUCUAUGGGUUUGAAAAAA